GGCCUAGGGACAAAGGGGCAUAGGGAGUCGAGGGCCCCAGGGAAUGUCUUUGCCUCUAUGUCUUUGCGGGAAACAUUUUUGAAAUCCAAAUAAAAUACACCCACUUUAGACAGUUCCGCUUUCUGCAUUUUCACCGAGUUUAAUGUUAGCUACCUUGUUAACGACACGACCGACCGAGUGCAUUAUGUUAGUGGAGAUACAGACGCCUCUGAAAUUAAGUACAAUCUGUGUUGCAAUUCGGUAUAGAAACUGACGCAAGAUAAUGACUUUACUCACACCAGAUAUAUCGAUUUUCUUUAAGUCAGAAUGGUUCACAUUCACUGUUGCGCCUGUACUGAUAAGUACUUUUUAACUACUGUAGCUGCCCACAUUUCUAAAUUAAUGUUAUCUAGCCCUAUAGAUCCUCUGCCAAUAUACAAACAAUUAGUAGGUCUCUUGUGUACAAUAGCCCAUUAAAAAACACUUCAGUCUAAAAAAUAUGACCUACACCAUUUGAACUAAUGACCUGCUGACAGUUCUUUGUAUGUGUGAGUAACUUGCUGGUUGAGGAACUGUGCUUGCAUUCUAAAUGUUUCAGGUUCGAUUUCCAGGUAGGACACGGCUGUUAUACCGUAAGCAGAAUAAUUCACCUGAAUUGCUUCAAUAUGUAGACAGCUGUAUAAAUUGAUACUAUGCAAAAAUACCAAAUAUAGUGUGAAAUUGCUCUAAAUAAUGGCGUCUGGUAAAAAAUGGUUGUAAUAUCUGGAGUAUUUUAAAAGGGUUCUGUAGUUACAAUUGUUGUCACUGAUUAUUUUUCCUCCCUGACAGUGAAUUUUACCCAGUUAUUUUCUGCCCCAUCCCACAUCUUCAUAGAAGUGCAAGAGAGAGUGUAUGUGUGUGUGGGUUCGUGCGUGUGUGUGGGCAGAUCUGUGUGUGUGCGCAGAUGCGCACCUGGACUACACCUCUCUGCCCCUGUAAUGGACAUUUUAUGACUACCCUGUACCGACCCUUUAUUCCGGGCCAUCAUCACCGCUGUGCCUCCUAUUUAUACUAUGUAUAAUUACCACUGAGGCCACUGGUUAGGCAGUAUUUAUAUUACCUAUAUUCUUAUAGUUCUUAUAAUUACACAUACUGCAUUAUUUAUAUUUAUCACUGCUUUUAUUGUGCUUUUAUUCUGUUUUUAUGUUUCGAGACUGUGUUGUAUUUUGUGUUAGCACCUUGGACCGUGAGGAACGACAUUUCGUUCCCGUAUACUAUGUAUGUGGGAAUGACAAUUAAACUUGAAACUUGUU